rnacentral:lncRNA from 1 species
AAUUUAGCCCUUAAUACAUGAUCAUUCAAGUCAGUUUUUUUUGUUAUUGGGGUAGGGUGAAUUCUUAUAGAUCCAUCCCCCGAGGGAACUGGACAUGAUAAUUUUUAAUCAUCCAGCUCGAGCAAGAAUAUAAAGAACCAAAUGAAUCCAUAUAUCCAUAUAAAAUAUAUAUAUAUAUAUAUAUAUAUAUAUGGUACCUGUAUUUACACAUACACAUAUAUGAUAUAGGAAUGGUUCAAUGUAAAAAAAAUUUUGACUGAAU